rnacentral:rRNA from 1 species
UACGGAGGGUGCAAACGUUGCUCGGAAUCAUUGGGCGUAAAGGGCUCGUAGGCGGUUUGUCGCGUCGGGAGUGAAAACCAGGUGCUUAACACCUGGCCUGCUUUCGAUACGGGCAGACUAGAGUGUGGUAGGGGAGACUGGAAUUCCUGGUGUAGCGGUGAAAUGCGCAGAUAUCAGGAGGAACACCGAUGGCGAAGGCAGGUCUCUGGGCCACUACUGACGCUGAGAAGCGAAAGCAUGGGGAGCGAACAGG